rnacentral:tRNA from 1 species
GGCCCGUUCGUCUAGUGGUUAGGAUUCCAGGUUUUCAUCCUGGCGACAGUGGUUCGAUUCCCCUACGGGCUA